AGCUGAGUUCAAAGCUGAGGCAAGACUAAGCUAUAUUAGGCUAUUCUCCUUGAGAUGGUCAAUUUAAUAGGAAUUUGGAUGGAUUUGAAAUAUUUUCAGCAACUCACUCACUGAAUUGUGAUUUCUUGUUGCAAAAAUGAACAAACAGGAAAAAAUGUAUUAAAUAUAUGACAGAAAAAAUUGUGAAAAGGAAUCAAGUAAAGAAAGGAAAACUGCUGUACAAUAAAAUACUGUAUAGGAAGGAUUUGAAAUAUGCCUCUAAUAAGUCCUAUUUUGCGACAGCUAGAUAUCCUGUUUCUUAUAAGACUGUUCAGUAGCCCUUCAGUUUUCCUGACUUUCUUUUCCACAGGAGAAUCCAACUACAAAUUAAAUGGAGUAAUAGCAAUAUCUCUUUUAUCGACUGCCUAACUGGUGGAAUUGAGAAAGCCGUGUAUAUUCACCGAUUUUAUAUAUUCUUUACUGUCUGGAACAUGUCUGGCACUGGCCCCAUAGCAAUCUUGUCUGUGGAGGAGGAGCUCAGGUGUCUCCUGUGUGCAGACAGCGGUGCGUCUAUCUGUGACCAACCCUGACACUUUGUGCCUGAUGUCCUUCCUGUAAGCUGCAGGAUCAUUGUAACUGCCCUUGAGAAUAUCUAUGCCCAGAGGUCAGUGUUGAUGUCAUCUCCCAUCUCCCACUAGGACACUGUAAAAUGUGAGUUUGUGGAACUGGGUCUUAUACCAAUGACAAUCUUCAUUACUCCCCUUCUCCACUGAACAUAACAUCAGGUUAAAGUAAAAAAUAUGGAACAUCACAGAUUGCCAGACAACUGCCAGCUAACUAAAGAAGAGGAUUAUUUGUUUGGUCCUCUAUACAGGUCCACACAGAAUUGGUGAAUUAAUUUCUGAUGCUUGUUUUUCUGAGAGUAGGAUAGGAAGAGCUGCAAAGCAACAGGAGGGCAUUCUACUUCUGGUUUAUUGAAAUCUCAAUAUUCUUUCAGUAGCAUCAAAGUUUGCUAAUAGGUAUUGGUAUCCACUGUAAAAAUUCAGAAGAAAAAAAAAUAAACAGCAAAUGGAAUUAA